UCAAGAGUAUGGUGUCAGGAUGAAAGUCAGGACAACUGGUGAUGGCCCAGGAUGGAGUGGAUGACCUUGGCAUCUUCCCUGUCUGACUAAGCACCUGCUUCAGCCUGUAGGAACGAAUUGUUCUCAUUUGACCAUUCUGCUGGAGGAAGUCUUAACAUGCUUCAGAGCCGAUCAUCCUAGGAAGUCUUGCCAGAAGGUGAAUUGUAAAUGACUGAAGCAUUUGGAGGGGAGAAGGAGAAAAGAAGAAAAAAAGAGGAGGAGGAAGAGAAGGAGAAGGAAGAAAUAGAUGAUCCCAUUCCCAGAAUAAUGCACUGAAGAUAUAUGAAGGAAAGGAAAUGGAAGGAAGGAAAUGGCAAACCACUCUAGUAUCUUUA